GAGCUGUGGAUAGGGGUGAAAGGCUAAACAAACUUGGAAAUAGCUGGUUCUCUCCGAAAACUAUUUAGGUAGUGCCUCAAGUAUUACCUGCGGGGGUAGAGCACUGUUUAGGCUAGGGGGUCAUGGCGACUUACCAAACCUUAGCAAACUCCGAAUACCGCAGAGUACAGCUUGGGAGACAGAGCACCGGGUGCUAACGUCCGGACUCAAGAGGGAAACAACCCAGACCGCC
rnacentral:rRNA from 1 species